UACAGAGGUCUCAAGCGUUGUUCGGAUUCAUUGGGCGUAAAGGGUGCGUAGGUGGCGCUGUAAGUCAGGUGUGAAAUUUCGGAGCUUAACUCCGAAACUGCAUUUGAUACUGCGGUGCUUGAGGACUGGAGAGGAGACUGGAAUUUACGGUGUAGCAGUGAAAUGCGUAGAGAUCGUAAGGAAGACCAGUGGCGAAGGCGGGUCUCUGGACAGUUCCUGACACUGAGGCACGAAGGCCAGGGGGAGCAAAACGGGG
rnacentral:rRNA from 1 species